GCGCGGUCUUUUGUACAACACUUCUCCCUGCUGCAAUGACUGAAGCCAACCCUUCUAUUUCUUGCAAUUACCCAGGUUUGGCAAAUGUAGUACAAUCAAAGUCUUGAGCUCUAUACGGUCUACCCAUGCUACCCGGGAUUUUAGCUAUAGCAGACCUACCCAGGUUGCUAAAUCAGUUCAGUGCUAUUAUUAUGGAGAUCCGCAUAGUGGAACAAACCUGCAAAGUGGGAAGAUUCUCCCCUCACUCUGCCUGUGGCACUUUGCGAAACGCUGUGCAAUAAUCAAAGGAUGUGUGGCCCAAUGGAUAAGGCGCCUGCCUACGGAGCAGGAGAUUCCAGGUUCGAUCCCUGGCACGUUCAGUAAAUGGAUGCAAGGAAGCUCUGUUUUCAGACGUCGUAGCUGCAGUCACGUCUCUUGCCAUCGGUGUCUUUUCUUUGAAUCCAUUGAUUGAUCAAUUGAUAAUGGCAACACAGCAACGUAUCUCAAGGUGGCAGAAUCGCAAAGUUGGAAUUGUUGCAAAGAGGCAAUGCGUUGAGGUUACACUCAAAGGUAUCCCCGGGAUCUCUUAAGCGAUGACUAAGCGCGGUCUUUUGUACAACACUUCUCCCUGCUGCAAUGACUGAAGCCAACCCUUCUAUUUCUUGCAAUUACCCAGGUUUGGCAAAUGUAGUACAAUCAAAGUCUUGAGCUCUAUACGGUCUACCCAUGCUACCCGGGAUUUUAGCUAUAGCAGACCUACCCAGGUUGCUAAAUCAGUUCAGUGCUAUUAUUAUGGAGAUCCGCAUAGUGGAACAAACCUGCAAAGUGGGAAGAUUCUCCCCUCACUCUGCCUGUGGCACUUUGCGAAACGCUGUGCAAUAAUCAAAGGAUGUGUGGCCCAAUGGAUAAGGCGCCUGCCUACGGAGCAGGAGAUUCCAGGUUCGAUCCCUGGCACGUUCAGUAAAUGGAUGCAAGGAAGCUCUGUUUUCAGACGUCGUAGCUGCAGUCACGUCUCUUGCCAUCGGUGUCUUUUCUUUGAAUCCAUUGAUUGAUCAAUUGAUAAUGGCAACACAGCAACGUAUCUCAAGGUGGCAGAAUCGCAAAGUUGGAAUUGUUGCAAAGAGGCAAUGCGUUGAGGUUACACUCAAAGGUAUCCCCGGGAUCUCUUAAGCGAUGACUAAGCGCGGUCUUUUGUACAACACUUCUCCCUGCUGCAAUGACUGAAGCCAACCCUUCUAUUUCUUGCAAUUACCCAGGUUUGGCAAAUGUAGUACAAUCAAAGUCUUGAGCUCUAUACGGUCUACCCAUGCUACCCGGGAUUUUAGCUAUAGCAGACCUACCCAGGUUGCUAAAUCAGUUCAGUGCUAUUAUUAUGGAGAUCCGCAUAGUGGAACAAACCUGCAAAGUGGGAAGAUUCUCCCCUCACUCUGCCUGUGGCACUUUGCGAAACGCUGUGCAAUAAUCAAAGGAUGUGUGGCCCAAUGGAUAAGGCGCCUGCCUACGGAGCAGGAGAUUCCAGGUUCGAUCCCUGGCACGUUCAGUAAAUGGAUGCAAGGAAGCUCUGUUUUCAGACGUCGUAGCUGCAGUCACGUCUCUUGCCAUCGGUGUCUUUUCUUUGAAUCCAUUGAUUGAUCAAUUGAUAAUGGCAACACAGCAACGUAUCUCAAGGUGGCAGAAUCGCAAAGUUGGAAUUGUUGCAAAGAGGCAAUGCGUUGAGGUUACACUCAAAGGUAUCCCCGGGAUCUCUUAAGCGAUGACUAAGCGCGGUCUUUUGUACAACACUUCUCCCUGCUGCAAUGACUGAAGCCAACCCUUCUAUUUCUUGCAAUUACCCAGGUUUGGCAAAUGUAGUACAAUCAAAGUCUUGAGCUCUAUACGGUCUACCCAUGCUACCCGGGAUUUUAGCUAUAGCAGACCUACCCAGGUUGCUAAAUCAGUUCAGUGCUAUUAUUAUGGAGAUCCGCAUAGUGGAACAAACCUGCAAAGUGGGAAGAUUCUCCCCUCACUCUGCCUGUGGCACUUUGCGAAACGCUGUGCAAUAAUCAAAGGAUGUGUGGCCCAAUGGAUAAGGCGCCUGCCUACGGAGCAGGAGAUUCCAGGUUCGAUCCCUGGCACGUUCAGUAAAUGGAUGCAAGGAAGCUCUGUUUUCAGACGUCGUAGCUGCAGUCACGUCUCUUGCCAUCGGUGUCUUUUCUUUGAAUCCAUUGAUUGAUCAAUUGAUAAUGGCAACACAGCAACGUAUCUCAAGGUGGCAGAAUCGCAAAGUUGGAAUUGUUGCAAAGAGGCAAUGCGUUGAGGUUACACUCAAAGGUAUCCCCGGGAUCUCUUAAGCGAUGACUAAGCGCGGUCUUUUGUACAACACUUCUCCCUGCUGCAAUGACUGAAGCCAACCCUUCUAUUUCUUGCAAUUACCCAGGUUUGGCAAAUGUAGUACAAUCAAAGUCUUGAGCUCUAUACGGUCUACCCAUGCUACCCGGGAUUUUAGCUAUAGCAGACCUACCCAGGUUGCUAAAUCAGUUCAGUGCUAUUAUUAUGGAGAUCCGCAUAGUGGAACAAACCUGCAAAGUGGGAAGAUUCUCCCCUCACUCUGCCUGUGGCACUUUGCGAAACGCUGUGCAAUAAUCAAAGGAUGUGUGGCCCAAUGGAUAAGGCGCCUGCCUACGGAGCAGGAGAUUCCAGGUUCGAUCCCUGGCACGUUCAGUAAAUGGAUGCAAGGAAGCUCUGUUUUCAGACGUCGUAGCUGCAGUCACGUCUCUUGCCAUCGGUGUCUUUUCUUUGAAUCCAUUGAUUGAUCAAUUGAUAAUGGCAACACAGCAACGUAUCUCAAGGUGGCAGAAUCGCAAAGUUGGAAUUGUUGCAAAGAGGCAAUGCGUUGAGGUUACACUCAAAGGUAUCCCCGGGAUCUCUUAAGCGAUGACUAAGCGCGGUCUUUUGUACAACACUUCUCCCUGCUGCAAUGACUGAAGCCAACCCUUCUAUUUCUUGCAAUUACCCAGGUUUGGCAAAUGUAGUACAAUCAAAGUCUUGAGCUCUAUACGGUCUACCCAUGCUACCCGGGAUUUUAGCUAUAGCAGACCUACCCAGGUUGCUAAAUCAGUUCAGUGCUAUUAUUAUGGAGAUCCGCAUAGUGGAACAAACCUGCAAAGUGGGAAGAUUCUCCCCUCACUCUGCCUGUGGCACUUUGCGAAACGCUGUGCAAUAAUCAAAGGAUGUGUGGCCCAAUGGAUAAGGCGCCUGCCUACGGAGCAGGAGAUUCCAGGUUCGAUCCCUGGCACGUUCAGUAAAUGGAUGCAAGGAAGCUCUGUUUUCAGACGUCGUAGCUGCAGUCACGUCUCUUGCCAUCGGUGUCUUUUCUUUGAAUCCAUUGAUUGAUCAAUUGAUAAUGGCAACACAGCAACGUAUCUCAAGGUGGCAGAAUCGCAAAGUUGGAAUUGUUGCAAAGAGGCAAUGCGUUGAGGUUACACUCAAAGGUAUCCCCGGGAUCUCUUAAGCGAUGACUAAGCGCGGUCUUUUGUACAACACUUCUCCCUGCUGCAAUGACUGAAGCCAACCCUUCUAUUUCUUGCAAUUACCCAGGUUUGGCAAAUGUAGUACAAUCAAAGUCUUGAGCUCUAUACGGUCUACCCAUGCUACCCGGGAUUUUAGCUAUAGCAGACCUACCCAGGUUGCUAAAUCAGUUCAGUGCUAUUAUUAUGGAGAUCCGCAUAGUGGAACAAACCUGCAAAGUGGGAAGAUUCUCCCCUCACUCUGCCUGUGGCACUUUGCGAAACGCUGUGCAAUAAUCAAAGGAUGUGUGGCCCAAUGGAUAAGGCGCCUGCCUACGGAGCAGGAGAUUCCAGGUUCGAUCCCUGGCACGUUCAGUAAAUGGAUGCAAGGAAGCUCUGUUUUCAGACGUCGUAGCUGCAGUCACGUCUCUUGCCAUCGGUGUCUUUUCUUUGAAUCCAUUGAUUGAUCAAUUGAUAAUGGCAACACAGCAACGUAUCUCAAGGUGGCAGAAUCGCAAAGUUGGAAUUGUUGCAAAGAGGCAAUGCGUUGAGGUUACACUCAAAGGUAUCCCCGGGAUCUCUUAAGCGAUGACUAAGCGCGGUCUUUUGUACAACACUUCUCCCUGCUGCAAUGACUGAAGCCAACCCUUCUAUUUCUUGCAAUUACCCAGGUUUGGCAAAUGUAGUACAAUCAAAGUCUUGAGCUCUAUACGGUCUACCCAUGCUACCCGGGAUUUUAGCUAUAGCAGACCUACCCAGGUUGCUAAAUCAGUUCAGUGCUAUUAUUAUGGAGAUCCGCAUAGUGGAACAAACCUGCAAAGUGGGAAGAUUCUCCCCUCACUCUGCCUGUGGCACUUUGCGAAACGCUGUGCAAUAAUCAAAGGAUGUGUGGCCCAAUGGAUAAGGCGCCUGCCUACGGAGCAGGAGAUUCCAGGUUCGAUCCCUGGCACGUUCAGUAAAUGGAUGCAAGGAAGCUCUGUUUUCAGACGUCGUAGCUGCAGUCACGUCUCUUGCCAUCGGUGUCUUUUCUUUGAAUCCAUUGAUUGAUCAAUUGAUAAUGGCAACACAGCAACGUAUCUCAAGGUGGCAGAAUCGCAAAGUUGGAAUUGUUGCAAAGAGGCAAUGCGUUGAGGUUACACUCAAAGGUAUCCCCGGGAUCUCUUAAGCGAUGACUAAGCGCGGUCUUUUGUACAACACUUCUCCCUGCUGCAAUGACUGAAGCCAACCCUUCUAUUUCUUGCAAUUACCCAGGUUUGGCAAAUGUAGUACAAUCAAAGUCUUGAGCUCUAUACGGUCUACCCAUGCUACCCGGGAUUUUAGCUAUAGCAGACCUACCCAGGUUGCUAAAUCAGUUCAGUGCUAUUAUUAUGGAGAUCCGCAUAGUGGAACAAACCUGCAAAGUGGGAAGAUUCUCCCCUCACUCUGCCUGUGGCACUUUGCGAAACGCUGUGCAAUAAUCAAAGGAUGUGUGGCCCAAUGGAUAAGGCGCCUGCCUACGGAGCAGGAGAUUCCAGGUUCGAUCCCUGGCACGUUCAGUAAAUGGAUGCAAGGAAGCUCUGUUUUCAGACGUCGUAGCUGCAGUCACGUCUCUUGCCAUCGGUGUCUUUUCUUUGAAUCCAUUGAUUGAUCAAUUGAUAAUGGCAACACAGCAACGUAUCUCAAGGUGGCAGAAUCGCAAAGUUGGAAUUGUUGCAAAGAGGCAAUGCGUUGAGGUUACACUCAAAGGUAUCCCCGGGAUCUCUUAAGCGAUGACUAAGCGCGGUCUUUUGUACAACACUUCUCCCUGCUGCAAUGACUGAAGCCAACCCUUCUAUUUCUUGCAAUUACCCAGGUUUGGCAAAUGUAGUACAAUCAAAGUCUUGAGCUCUAUACGGUCUACCCAUGCUACCCGGGAUUUUAGCUAUAGCAGACCUACCCAGGUUGCUAAAUCAGUUCAGUGCUAUUAUUAUGGAGAUCCGCAUAGUGGAACAAACCUGCAAAGUGGGAAGAUUCUCCCCUCACUCUGCCUGUGGCACUUUGCGAAACGCUGUGCAAUAAUCAAAGGAUGUGUGGCCCAAUGGAUAAGGCGCCUGCCUACGGAGCAGGAGAUUCCAGGUUCGAUCCCUGGCACGUUCAGUAAAUGGAUGCAAGGAAGCUCUGUUUUCAGACGUCGUAGCUGCAGUCACGUCUCUUGCCAUCGGUGUCUUUUCUUUGAAUCCAUUGAUUGAUCAAUUGAUAAUGGCAACACAGCAACGUAUCUCAAGGUGGCAGAAUCGCAAAGUUGGAAUUGUUGCAAAGAGGCAAUGCGUUGAGGUUACACUCAAAGGUAUCCCCGGGAUCUCUUAAGCGAUGACUAAGCGCGGUCUUUUGUACAACACUUCUCCCUGCUGCAAUGACUGAAGCCAACCCUUCUAUUUCUUGCAAUUACCCAGGUUUGGCAAAUGUAGUACAAUCAAAGUCUUGAGCUCUAUACGGUCUACCCAUGCUACCCGGGAUUUUAGCUAUAGCAGACCUACCCAGGUUGCUAAAUCAGUUCAGUGCUAUUAUUAUGGAGAUCCGCAUAGUGGAACAAACCUGCAAAGUGGGAAGAUUCUCCCCUCACUCUGCCUGUGGCACUUUGCGAAACGCUGUGCAAUAAUCAAAGGAUGUGUGGCCCAAUGGAUAAGGCGCCUGCCUACGGAGCAGGAGAUUCCAGGUUCGAUCCCUGGCACGUUCAGUAAAUGGAUGCAAGGAAGCUCUGUUUUCAGACGUCGUAGCUGCAGUCACGUCUCUUGCCAUCGGUGUCUUUUCUUUGAAUCCAUUGAUUGAUCAAUUGAUAAUGGCAACACAGCAACGUAUCUCAAGGUGGCAGAAUCGCAAAGUUGGAAUUGUUGCAAAGAGGCAAUGCGUUGAGGUUACACUCAAAGGUAUCCCCGGGAUCUCUUAAGCGAUGACUAAGCGCGGUCUUUUGUACAACACUUCUCCCUGCUGCAAUGACUGAAGCCAACCCUUCUAUUUCUUGCAAUUACCCAGGUUUGGCAAAUGUAGUACAAUCAAAGUCUUGAGCUCUAUACGGUCUACCCAUGCUACCCGGGAUUUUAGCUAUAGCAGACCUACCCAGGUUGCUAAAUCAGUUCAGUGCUAUUAUUAUGGAGAUCCGCAUAGUGGAACAAACCUGCAAAGUGGGAAGAUUCUCCCCUCACUCUGCCUGUGGCACUUUGCGAAACGCUGUGCAAUAAUCAAAGGAUGUGUGGCCCAAUGGAUAAGGCGCCUGCCUACGGAGCAGGAGAUUCCAGGUUCGAUCCCUGGCACGUUCAGUAAAUGGAUGCAAGGAAGCUCUGUUUUCAGACGUCGUAGCUGCAGUCACGUCUCUUGCCAUCGGU